rnacentral:rRNA from 1 species
UACAGAGGUCUCGAGCGUUAGGCGGAAUCACUGGGCUUAAAGCGUGUGUAGGCGGAUCGUUAAGUGCCUUGUGAAAUCCCACGGCUCAACCGUGGAACUGCUUGGCAUACUGGCGGUCUUGAGCCAUCUAGGGGCUACCGGAACAAAUGGUGGAGCGGUGAAAUGCGUAGAUAUCAUUUGGAACGCCAAUGGUGAAAACAGGUAGCUGGGGAUGUGCUGACGCUGAGACACGAAAGCCAGGGGAGCGAACGGG